rnacentral:lncRNA from 1 species
AUAAGUAUGCGAUUUAAACAAAGCAGUAGUGCAAAUCACAAAAUUUUCAUAAUAUAUGCAUAUGAAACCGUGCCCCCCGGCAUGCCGUGGUCCAUUCUCUCGGAUGCUACUGCGAAGUCCAUUCGGCCACUGGCGGGGCCAGCUAGUCAUUCUCGGCCACUAGCAAGGCCAGCGAAGUUAUUCUCGGCCACUAGCAAGGCCAGCUCAGUUGCAUUCGAUCAAUAGCAUCUUUGAG